rnacentral:rRNA from 1 species
AGAGUUUGAUCCUGGCUCAGGGCGAACGCUGGCGGCAGGCUUAACACAUGCAAGUCGAGCGGGCGUAGCAAUACGUCAGCGGCAGACGGGUGAGUAACGCGUGGGAACGUACCUUUUGGUUCGGAACAACACAGGGAAACUUGUGCUAAUACCGGAUAAGCCCUUACGGGGAAAGAUUUAUCGCCGAAAGAUCGGCCCGCGUCUGAUUAGCUAGUUGGUGUGGUAACGGCGCACCAAGGCGACGAUCAGUAGCUGGUCUGAGAGGAUGAUCAGCCACAUUGGGACUGAGACACGGCCCAAACUCCUACGGGAGGCAGCAGUGGGGAAUAUUGGACAAUGGGCGCAAGCCAGAUCCAGCCAUGCCGCGUGAGUGAUGAAGGCCCUAGGGUUGUAAAGCUCUUUUGUGCGGGAAGAUAAUGACGGUACCGCAAGAAUAAGCCCCGGCUAACUUCGUGCCAGCAGCCGCGGUAAUACGAAGGGGGCUAGCGUUGCUCGGAAUCACUGGGCGUAAAGGGUGCGUAGGCGGGUCUUUAAGUCAGGGGUGAAAUCCUGGAGCUCAACUCCAGAACUGCCUUUGAUACUGAGGAUCUUGAGUUCGGGAGAGGUGAGUGGAACUGCGAGUGUAGAGGUGAAAUUCGUAGAUAUUCGCAAGAACACCAGUGGCAAAGGCGGCUCACUGGCCCGAUACUGACGCUGAGGCACGAAAGCGUGGGGAGCAAACAGGAUUAGAUACCCUGGUAGUCC